rnacentral:piRNA from 1 species
UCCCACAAAAUGGGGCAAUAGCUGCC